CCUACGUGAGGCAGCAGUGGGGAAUAUUGCACAAUGGGGGAAACCCUGAUGCAGCGACGCCGCGUGAGUGAAGAAGUAUUUCGGUACGUAAAGCACUAUCAGCGGGGAGGAAAAUGACGGUACCUGACUAAGAAGCCCCGGCUAACUACGUGCCAGCAGCCGCGGUAAUACGUAGGGGGAAAGCGUUAUCCGGAUUUACUGGGUGUAAAGGGAGCGUAGACGGCAGGGCAAGUCUGGAGUGAAAUCCCAGGGCUUAACCAUGGAACUGCUUUGGAAACUGGGCAGCUGGAGUGCAGGAGAGGUAAGCGGAAUUCCUAGUGUAGCGGUGAAAUGCGUAGAUAUUAGGAGGAACACCAGUGGCGAAGGCGGCUUACUGGACUGUAACUGACGUUGAGGUUCGAAAGCGUGGGGAGCAAACAGGAUUAGAUACCCGGGUAGUC
rnacentral:rRNA from 1 species